UUUCUUUUACUCUUUUUCUUCUUUUUCUUUUCACUUCCACUUGUUGAAGAACCAAGAGAAGGAGAAGAAGGAAGGCCGG
rnacentral:ribozyme from 13 species